AGAACGAACGCUGGCGGCAGGCUUAACACAUGCAAGUCGAACGCACCGCAAGGUGAGUGGCAGACGGGUGAGUAACACGUGGGAACAUACCCUUCGGUUCGGAAUAACUUGGGGAAACUUAAGCUAAUACCGAAUACGGCCUGAGGCGAAUGAGUUUAUCGCCGAAGGAAUGGCCCGCGUCCGAUUAGCUAGUUGGUGUUGGUAACGGCUCACCAAGGCGACGAUCGGUAGCUGGUCUGAGAGGAUGACCAGCCACAUUGGGACUGAGACACGGCCCAAACUCCUACGGGAGGCAGCAGUGGGGAAUAUUGGACAAUGGGCGCAAGCCUGAUCCAGCCAUGCCGCGUGAGUGAUGAAGGCCUUAGGGUUGUAAAGCUCUUUCGCACGCGACGAUAAUGACGGUAGCGUGAGAAGAAGCCCCGGCUAACUUCGCGCCAGCAGCCGC
rnacentral:rRNA from 1 species